GCCCUAUGUUGCUUCUCGCUUUUUUUUUUUGCUUGAAGAUAAAAUUUAUGCUCUAUAAUAACAAAGUUCAUUAUAUAUAUAAGUCUGUAAAUAAGGGAAAUACACUUGUUGUAUGUUGGUUCGAAUCCAACUGCAGACGAACAAAUGUAAGCUAGUUAAGCUUAUGAAAGCAUUUUUUUUUAUCAUUUUACAAAAUAGCAAUGAUUUUUAGGAUAAUAGCUUCUUUAAUAAUAAUUGGAAAAAUAACUUGUAUAUUUUCCUACAGACUUUUGUUUUUUAUUUACAAAAAAAGUAAGAAAACACCAUUCAUUUAAUUGGCAUUUAUGCACACAAAAAAAAUAAAAUAAAAUAUAAUACAUGUAAAAUUGAUCAGAUUGAUAUUAAAGAAUGCUUUCACAUUUUGCUUUUCACCUCUUAUAGUGUUGAAUUCACUAUUAUUUUCUACAUAUUGGUGUUGGUGUUUAAACUAACAGAAAAAUAUACCAAACUGGACAUAUUUUUAUCCUGUAAAAGUUACUCUCCAUCUGCAUGAGAUAGUAGCACAGACUUAUUUGUAGAUUUUUAAACAAAAUGCAUAUGAUAGAAAAACAAAAUCAUGUACCAUAUGUGUAGCAUAAAUUAAAAUGCACAGACACUGCAAAGUCAUAUAAACUUACAGUUUGGUUAACAAAUUUUCUAAAAAGGCUG
rnacentral:lncRNA from 1 species